CUUCUCUGUGCAAUUUGUUGAUGUCAGCCCCAUUCCCCAGCUCCACAAAUGAGCACAUCACCCAGGGAAAGCCAAUGAGAGACGGCUGCAGGACUUUUGCUGGAGCUCCUGGAACGCUGAGUUUUGUGCUGCCGUGGUUGCUUACCUGGUAGGCUGGCAGGCUGGCACUGCCGGGGGAGGAGAGGGCCUGCCUGAAAACGAAAUCAAUACCGAGGGAAGAAAAGGUGAAAGAAGGAGAGAUGUACAGUCCUGAGAUUGUUGGAGCACCUGGAUCCAGCCAUACCUGAAAUCCAAACUCCCUCCCGCUGGACUUUUUCACUGUAAGAAUCAGUAAUUUCCCUUGGUGUUUAAGCUAGUUUGGGUUUCCGUAGCCUCCAAGAUAACAAAGCCUCAAAGAUAUGCAGGCAGCCAAGCUUAGGUACUUUCCCCUUGAGGGAUGUGGGCAGGUGUUUCCCUCGCUCAGAAGUCACGUCCCCUCUAGAGGCUCCUUUUCUACAAGGCCUGAAUGUUUGGGGUUCGCUCCACCUGAGGCGAAAAAGCAGAAGCAAAGUGCGAGGCCAGAGGUGGGGUGCCUACAGAAACAGCCAUGCGACCAGCAGCAGGAAGUGGGGAUCUGCAUUAUUACUGUGCUAACCCAUUUCCCCGCUUCUUGGUAGGCUGAGCCCUGAUUGUCUUAGCUUGUUUAUUAGCUCUGUCCAUGUGUUUCGGGGAGGUGUCUAAGCCAGUCAUAGUUCCCCAGUCUCCCGGUCAGUGACUGGUUCUGGAAGGAGCCGUGACUCACUCCUAGACAAGAACAUGUGAGGAGGAGACGAGGGCUGGCACUGUGGCAGCUAUGUUGCCACCUUAAGGGAAGACACUGCCCACGUGCCGAGGAAUCUUCGUCCGACACCGUUGAACGUGAACACCGAUCACAAGAACACCGUUCAACGGGUGGGCUGACCGCUGUACAACCUCCCUACCUUGGUGAGAUUAACUGUUUGGGAAAAUAAUAAAGGCCUUUAGUUUUCAAGGUAUUUGGAAUCUCUUGUUCCCUUACCUGCAGCCAGCAGCAGCCUACGUGAUACACCCAGAGUGCGUGGUGCACACGGGACGGCAUGGGGACGUCAACAGUAUGGCCCGUUCGGUGCCCAGAGCACUGCCCUCACCAGACACGGUCCUGGCUGUCAGCGUGAGAGCCCCCCCAUUCCCUCCCGGCCCAGCCACUGCUGGCAUCAUAGUGUUGAUUAUGCUUUCCAUAUUCGUCAGAGGGAACAGUCAUUAUGUUUUAAACUCUAGCCACCAACCCAUAAAGUUUGGUGAAGGUCACUCCCAGAACGUACGUGUCAUCGACCCUGAUAAUUUGACAGUGAAGGGGUUGGUGUGACCCGUCUAUGUGCCAGUCAAAACCCAGUAACCUGCCUUGAAGAUUUGCGCAUUUCAUUGUAUGCAAAUUUCACCUCACAAAAGAACCACGGGGAGUGGUGGCUGGGUGGGGUGGCUCAGUGGGUUAAGCAGCUGACUUCAGCUCAGGUCAUGAUCUGAGCCAGUUCGAACCCCUCGUUGGGCUCUGGGCUGACAGCUCAGAACCUGGAGCCUACUUUACAUUCUGUGUCUCCCUCUCUCUGCCCCUCCCCUGCUCAUGCUCUGUCUCUCUUUCUCUCCCAAAAAUAAAUAAACAUUAAAAAAAAUUUUUUUAAAAGAACCGUAAAGAUUGAAUUCUAAUUAGUGAUAUGGACACUGAGCUAUUUAGAAGUUAAAAGUGCAGAUGUCUGCUUGAAAAUACUUCACUUUAACUCAUUUAAAAAUCCAGCAAAGAAAUCAUGUGGUUGAAUAAAUAGAGGAUGGACAGAUAGGUAUGUGAUAAAGCACAUGUAGAAAAUUGUUAACAAGGGGCGCCUGGGUGGCUCAGUCAGUUAAGCGUCCGAUUUCGGCUCAGGUCACGAUCUCGCGGUUUGUGGGUUGGAGCCCCACGUCGGGAUCUGUGCUGACGGCUCGGAGCCUGGAGCCUGCUUCGGAUUCUCUCUCUCUACCUCUCCCCCACUCGUGUUCUGUCCCUCUCUCUCUCUCAAAAAUAAAUAACAUUAAAAAAAUUUUUUUAACGUUAACAAGUGUAGAAUCCAGAUGAUAGGUGCGUGGGAGUCAUGGUAAAAUUCAUUCACCUUCUCUGUAGGUUUGAAAAUUCUCAUAAUUCAAUGUUGGGGGGGGGGCAGGGAAAGCCUAUGGAGAGUCAGGAAAUUGAGUCCACUGCUGUGGAAGAUGCUCAAAUCAAUGGUGGCUCGGGGCAUCUGGGUGGCCCAGUCCGUCAAGAGUCCCAUUCUUGUUACUGGCUCAGGUCGUGAUCCUGCCGUUCUGUGUCAGGCUCUUGAUUUCAGCUCAGGUCAUGAUCUCAGGGUUCCUGAGAUCGAGUCCCACGGCGGCUCUGAGCUGACAAGUGCGGAGCCUGCUUGGGAUUCUCUCUCGUCCUCUCGCUCUGCCCCUGCCCCACCUCAAAAUAAAGAAAUAAACAUUAAAAAAAAUAAUGUCGGCUUAAAUUGGAAAGAAGCCUGGAUCUUUCUUGGUGAUGGCGCCCUUCUCUCCUGCUGAGGGGCCAGCUGAGGGUGUUGUCCUCAGUGGCUCACAGUCGCCAGGUCCAGGGAGGAAAGGCAGGAAGGGGAAAAGGAGAUCUGUCUGUGGUUGGGACUUACAAAGCUAACAGAGAAACCAAAAGGGAUGACAAUUAUAAUAACGACAAUAGCCAGCAUAUACCCUUACGGGAGGCGCGGCCCUCUUCCAAGGGCGUUACGGGGUUCAUCCCUGUGACCCUCACGACCUUGUGAGGUAGGUACCUGCUGUUGUUCUCAUUUCCGGCUGUGGAAGCUGAGGCCCGGGGACGUUGAGCCGAGUCAUUAUGUCAGGAAGGACACGGCAUGAAACGAAUCCUCAUCCCCCGGGACAGGAAGUCAAUGGCUUUGCGGGUGACACUGACGAAUCAAAACCCAGAGGCAUAAACAUCUUAAGAGAUGGGGAGAUGGUGAUGGAAGGGUGACAGGCCGCCGUGACUACUGCUUGUGUCUGGAGGGAGGAAGUGGUGGAGGGUGGGUGAGGGAGGGGGUGGCAGGCACGGAGGCCACAACUGCUAUGUCAGGAAACGAGGGCUGGGGGCGCCUGGGCGGCUCAGUCGGUUGCACAUUCCAACUUGGUCUCAGGUCAUGAUCUCACGGCUCGUGAGUUCGAGCCCCGCGUCGGGCUCUGC